rnacentral:lncRNA from 1 species
AUUAAAUAAAUAAAAUUCAAAUAAUGGAAAAUAGACUUCAAAUAUUUAAGCCUCUUUUAAAUUGUUUUAGACAUUCCUCCACAUUAAUCUUCAAAUGAUGUGAAGACCUAUUUAUAUACACAGACAGAAACACACGAGCACACAUGCCCAUGUGUCUGCAAGAGAUCACCCAAGUUGUAAGCGUCUCAUUGGGAUAGAAACACAGGCAACACAUCACUACAUGAGCAAAAACCAAACCAAUAAAAAAGAAACAUAACAGCAACAGGACAAAAAAGAAAUUCCAUCAAAGUAAAAAAUAGAUAACAGUAACACAAAAAACAUUAAAAAACGGAAAGGGAAAAAAAAGAAAAGUCAAACCAAUUGCAGCACUGAUACCCAAACACACAAGAAAAAAACAAUACUAAUAAUAACAUUACUAAUAAUAAUACAAAUCAGUUUGCAUGGAAUGCUUCAAAGCCAUCAACAAUCUGUGAGACUGGAAGCAGUGGUGAUUGUUGUAGAUCAACUGCAAACUGAAGUUGCCAUUUGGUCUACAAUAAAUAUAUAUAUAUAUAUAUAUAUAUAUAUAUACAUGUAUAUCCAUACAUUGUUUUUUUAAAAAUAUUUUUUUCCAAAAGAUACCUCCAGAUUCCCCUGUGUUGUAGACUCCAUGCAGGCAAGAGGAUGGACUUAAUAUUUUUUCCAGCAUAUUCUCCAGAAAAGAGAGACACAGAGAAAGAGAAGUCACAAUGACAGCUAUGGAUGGGUGCGUGGGACAUUAAGGACGGAACUGUUCUCACAAUGGAUUGACAUCACACACUUUCCAAAGUAAGUAAAAGCUGAGGCAAAGCAAAAUUGGUUUUUGUCACAACUUCGAUUGCACGCAUUGUGUUCAUUUUUCUCCAUACAAUCUCAUUCCAAGCUAAAGGGUGCCAUGCGUGCCGGCGAUCUCGAGGAGUGCGUGGCUGGGGCAUGGGCCGGGUUGCAGCCCAGUAUGGUGCACCGCCGCAAACCCAUUCUCACGUUACCGUAGUGUU